GGCUCCAUAGUGUAGUGGUUAGCACGCCUGCUUUACACGCAGAAGGUCCUGCGUUCGCGCCCCAGGUGGAGCCA
rnacentral:tRNA from 1 species